rnacentral:rRNA from 1 species
AGCAGUAGCCGCGGGAAAACGGAGGGUGCAAGCGUUAAUCGGAAUUACUGGGCGUAAAGCGCACGCAGGCGGUCUGACAAGUCAGAUGUGAAAUCCCCGGGCUUAACCUGGGAACUGCAUUUGAAACUGUCAGGCUGGAGUCUUGUAGAGGGGGGUGGAAUUCCAGGUGUAGCGGUGAAAUGCGUAGAGAUCUGGAGGAAUACCGGUGGCGAAGGCGGCCCCCUGGACAAAGACUGACGCUCAGGUGCGAAAGCGUGGGGAGCAAACAGGAUUAGAUACCCCGGUAGUCCCUGUCUCUUAUAC